UACGUAGGUGGCAAGCGUUGUUCGGAAUUACUGGGCGUAAAGGGCGCGUAGGCGGCCUGCUAAGUCGAACGUGAAAUCCCCGGGCUUAACCCGGGAACUGCGUCCGAUACUGGUGGGCUUGAAUCCGGGAGAGGGAUGUGGAAUUCCAGGUGUAGCGGUGAAAUGCGUAGAUAUCUGGAGGAACACCGGUGGCGAAGGCGGCAUCCUGGACCGGUAUUGACGCUGAGGCGCGAAAGCUAGGGGAGCAAACGGG
rnacentral:rRNA from 1 species